rnacentral:rRNA from 1 species
GUGAUUGGAAUGAGUACACUUUAAAUCCUUUAACGAGGACCCAUUGGAGGGCAAGUCUGGUGCCAGCAGCCGCGGUAACUCCAGCUCCAAUAGCGUAUAUUAAAGUUGUUGCGGUUAAAAAGCUCGUAGUCGGAUGUCUGUCUUCGGCCGGGCGGCGACUCUCUGAAUUAAGGGAGCUUCGCUUUCGCUCUGGGAGGUCGGUGUCAAAGCCGGUCUCUCUUCGCGGUCGGACAACACCGCCGGAGUGGUGGCCAGCCGCGCGGGGAUCAUCGCUUGCGCGGGCGGGUUUCGGCUCGUCUGCGUCCGCGACCCUCGCGCGGUCCACCCGUAAUCGUCCGGGGUGCCCUUCACCGGGUGUCUCGGGCGGCCGGCAACGUUUACUUUGAACAAAUUAGAGUGCUCAAAGCAGGUGCAACCAUAACGCCUGAAUAUCACAGCAUGGAAUGAUGAAAGAGGACCUCGGUCUUAUUUUGCUGGUCUUUUCUUCAUAGACCCGAGGUAAUGG